CUGAGAGUGACCUGGGGGCUCAUCUCUCUCCCUUACUGAACUUUCCUCUUCCUUUACCAUUAAACGACCUCGGUUCCCAGGCCCUUUGCUUUUGAAGUAGGUCUUUGGUCCUGCUAGGGUGUAGACACCUCGACUUUAUGGCUAGUACAGUCGAAAAGCCCAAGCGUGGGAUUCGAUCCAACUUGCUCAAAAAGUUCAAUGCAAAAAUGUACAUGCGGACCCCCCCCCCCCCCACACACACACAGCCCGGCUGCCCCGGUAUUCCCUGAGAGCAAGAUUAUUUACAUACAUCCGCGCUCACGGGCCUUCCCCCAGCCCUUCUUUAGCCUCCCAGUCCCCCUAAAUCUCCUCAGCGAAACCAAAACAGUUUUGAGCCCCUUCCCUGCGGCUCCGGAAGCACCAUUUCCAACUCGGUCCCAGCAGCUCCGCUCCUCCCCCGUCCCCCCUCGCCCUGGCCCUUGGCGGGGCGGGGAAGUCGGGGUAGGGGCGAGACCACGAGGAGCCCAAAGGCAGCAACAUGCCGGAAUCUUCCCAGAGUAAGCGCUGUCGCCUUUUGCCCCUUUCCAGUCCCUUGCUUGGCCCGGCGCUUCCUUUCACUCUCUCUUGCUCCCAAGGCGGCGCCGCUGGAAGGGCUCCGCAGAGGGGUUCGCGGCGCGCACACAAAGGGCGCUGGGGAGGCGCGGCGGGAGCCGACAGCGGGGCGCUGACGGGUCCCGCGCAGCCCCAGCCGACCCCAGAGGCCAGCUCUUCCCGGUCGAGAGCCAAGCGCCGGGGCGGCCGCUGCCGAGGGCGGGGCGGAGGGUGCCUGUCCUUUGGGAGGUGGCUGCCCGGGGGGCAGUUGGGGCGCGCGUGGGAAACGCUCCCGGAGAGUUGGGGAGGAAUUGAGGUGGAAGCCGAGGAAGGAGGGGCCGGAGCGGAGAGUGGAGGCGGGCGGAUGCCCUGAAGCCUGAGGAGUUGGUGGGAAGCCGCUGGCGCGGGCAAAGGCUUCUGCACGCGGACUCCGACUGCCUCCAGGACGCGCCUCUUUGGAGAAGAGUCCCGAACCCGCCGCCGCCGCCGCCGCCGCCUCCAGGCAGCGGCCGUCGGGCAGCUGGCGCGGGCUGCCUUGGCCGCCAGGAAAGCGCUCUCAAGGCGGUGAUGGUGGAGCGGCCGGCCGAGGCCCGGCGCUGGGCUCCCCCCCGCCGGCGGUCGGCCUCCGCUCUGCCGGGCGCUCCCCGCCAGGGGGCGGCGCAGCGCGGAGCGAGCGGGCUGCGGCGGGCGGCGGCCCGGUGGCGGGGUCGGUAAGGGAGCAGGCGUCGAGUCACCGCCUCCCCUGGGCACGUCGUCGCCCCCCGGCGCCUCCCGGAGUCCAGAGUCUGCGGAGGCCGCGUGGUCUGCACGUCGACCUUCCUAUGUUUGCUGUGUUGCCCUUUGGAGACAAAACAAGGCAAAAGCUUGAGAAUAUUUGACAUAUAAUGGAAAUAGGAGUUACUAAUGAGGACCAGUUUUUAUGACCGCUUGGAUCAAAGUCCAGAAACCGAAGUUUUACACUUCCAUGUAACUUUCUAUGAGAGACUUUUUACUUGACACUGCAAAACUGUGCUGAAUUAGUUGACAUUCUGGGUCCUGUGUUUGAGACUUUUUUCUUUUCUCUUUUCUUUCUUUCAUAUUUUUUUCUUAUCUCUAAAAGCUGUAACAUUUUUAUUGGCAAGAUAUUUGUAUUAAAAUCAGAUGAUGGAUAUAAAAUAAAUAUUGCCAUCCACUUUUUAAAAACACUGUUUCUGUAAUUACAUAGGAAUAUAGUUUUCAAUUUUCAAACAAAUGAUUUGUUAAGCAUAUUUUAUUAAGCUGUCAGUAGUGUUGAAGAUAAUAAAACCCUGUGGUUAUUGACUCAGUGUGACUUUAAUAUUAUUUAUAAUAUUUUUUAUGAUGGUAAUUCUGAUGCAGGAAUGACCUUUUCUUUUUGUAUUGUUUAUAAACAGGGUUCAUAUGGUCAGCUUUAAGCUGCUUUUUUAGUGCCCUGAAAGUACUCAUGUGUAUCAGAUUCUUUCCUCCUAAAAGAAGCUGUAGGAGCCCUUAUAAUGAUGUUUCCCAUUGCCCUUCUAUCGCUAGUGUUCUCAGGGUUUCAAAUUCAGAUCCAUUUUAGAGUCUGCAAUGCAAGGUCAUGAUUCCUAACAAUGUGGUAGAAUUAAUGCAGUGGCAAUUAUUCAUAGUUGCAUAUCUCAAAAUAAAUCUAUUUGCUUAGCUAACAAAAACUUAAGUAGGCAUAUAGUACAAUUCAGUAGCUUUUUUUCAGAUCUGUGAAAAUGGCUGAUAUUUUCAUAAGAUCAUGUUUUCAACACCUCAAGGUGUACAAUUUUUAGCAUUUUGAAUAUGGUGUGCAACAAAAUUUUCUUUUAAAGUAAUUCCACCUAAAUAUUUAAGUAUUUAAAAUAUCUGAAACUGACCCUCCCCCCUCUCAUGUGCU